UACGAAGGGGGCUAGCGUUGCUCGGAAUCACUGGGCGUAAAGCGCACGUAGGCGGAUUGCUAAGUCAGGGGUGAAAUCCUGGAGCUCAACUCCAGAACUGCCUUUAAGACUGCUUCGCUUGAAUCCGGGAGAGGUGAGUGGAACUGCGAGUGUAGAGGUGAAAUUCGUAGAUAUUCGCAAGAACACCAGUGGCGAAGGCGGGUCACUGGCCCGAUACUGACGCUGAGGUGCGAAAGCGUGGGGAGCAAACAGG
rnacentral:rRNA from 1 species